GAUGAACGCUAGCUACAGGCUUAACACAUGCAAGUCGAGGGGUCUUGACGGAGCUUGCUCUUGAUAGACGACCGGCGCACGGGUGAGUAACGCGUAUCCAACCUGCCCUUCAUAUUGGGAUAGCCUUCCGAAAGGGAGAUUAAUACCGAAUAACAUAUCAAGAUUGCAUGAUAUUGAUAUGAAAGAUCCGUCGAUGAAGGAUGGGGAUGCGUUUCAUUAGGUAGUAGGCGGGGUAACGGCCCACCUAGCCAACGAUGAAUAGGGGUUCUGAGCGGAAGGUCCCCCACAAUGGAACUGAGACACGGUCCAGACUCCUACGGGAGGCAGCAGUGAGGAAUAUUGGUCAAUGGGCGCAAGCCUGAACCAGCCAAGUAGCGUGAAGGAUGACUGCCCUAUGGGUUGUAAACUUCUUUUUUACGGGAACAAAUGUUGCUACGUGUAGCAAUUUGCGUGUACCGUACGAAUAAGCAUCGGCUAACUCCGUGCCAGCCGCCGCAGUAACAC
rnacentral:rRNA from 1 species